rnacentral:rRNA from 1 species
UACAGAGGGUGCUAGCGUUGUUCGGAAUUAUUGGGCGUAAAGGGCGCGUAGGCGGCCCUGUGUGUCGGGUGUGAAAGCCCACCUCUUAAAGGUGGAAUUGCAUUCGAAACUACAGGGCUGGAGUGUCGGAGAGGAUGGCGGAAUUCCUGGUGUAGAGGUGAAAUUCGUAGAUAUCAGGAGGAACACCGGUGGCGAAGGCGGGUCUCUGGGCCGUAACUGACGCUGAGGAGCGAAAGCAUGGGGAGCGAACAGG